rnacentral:ncRNA from 10 species
UCAUCCCUGCGUGACUGGCGAUAGAACCGGUUCAAACAAUCGGAUUCAAGGUGGAACAACCCACCGUGAAGCGCGGGGUGCCGUUUUGCCGUUCGCCUGGGCAGCUGUG